AGGUAUUAGUAUCUUGCUGAAUUAACAUUCACCACAUUUAGUGUAAAGGGAUUAUAAUCACCCUGGAACUUUAUUUACAUUUUUCUCUUGGCCUAAUGCCCUACAGCUGUACCAAUGAGAGAAGUUAACAGCUCUAACUGUCCUUCACCUCCUUCCCUGCUGGAUGGUCUGUCCUCUCUGAUCUGCUGAUAGAGCCAUUACAGAAGUUCAUUUAAAAUUAUAUUGGCCAGCUUAAACAGUUGUUUUUUGCUAACUUGGCUUUUUUAGUCUCAGAUGAAUUAGGGAGCUUGCUAGCCUCCUUCUCUAGCUCAGCUCUUUAUGGACUGCAUGUGUGUUGGCAUCUUGAAUCAUACUGUAAGUAAUAUAUGGGGGUCAAUAACAGACCAAUAUUGAAUCUGAUAAAAGAUGUAUUUUGAAUGUAAUAACACAUGCAAGUAUGUAAUGUGAUGGCUGAACAAAAGGAUAUGGGCUAUUAAAUAGGCUUAUUGUUGCUGUAUUUUAUGCAAAAUAUCAUAUGAUAAGAGCAGUAAAACAAGCAAAUUUUAACAAGGAGAGCUAGUAAUUCAAGCUAGCAAAAGAAAAAACCUACUCAUUAUGCAUAACAUUAGGAUAUUGAUAUCUUACUAAAAUGGCUAGAGACUAAAAAGAACAGCUGUAGGUAGUUCUCAUAAAAUGUGAUAUUUGUAAAUGAUAACAACCGAGAAGCUUGAUUCUGAAAGCAGGAACAUGUUUUAUAGGUAUCACUUCCUCUUCUGAUCAUAAAAAGGAUUGCUUCCUGUUCCUCUCUUGGGUGAACUGAUGGAUGAGCUUGUUCUAAAUAGUAAUAGAAAAAAUUGAAGAUAUAUACAAAGUGUCCAAUAUUCAGAUGCCUAUGCAACAAUAUUUGAAUGCUUUGGAUCUUUCUGGGACAACCAAGGAGAAAACAAGUUUAUAUUAAGCAUGGAUCAGUGCCAUUCAUAUACUAAUGAAUGACAUUGCCUGUGAAGCAUCUCAUGGAACUGAAAAUUGUCCAGGGGAUAGAGAAAACCAGUGUAUUCAGAUGGAGGUGGGAGAGGAAACCUUUGGAAGAGAGGCAAGAAAGCAAUGUGGAUGAGCUCUUGGAGGAAUGGGAGAUGCAGUGGCAAAGUCUACAGAGUCCAGAAUUACACAGCUGUUUCAUUCAAGCUGGGGACCGAUGUGAGACAUGGAGAGAGGUUCCAGGUGGGGCAAUGUGA
rnacentral:lncRNA from 1 species